UGGGGAAUUUUGGACAAUGGGCGCAAGCCUGAUCCAGCCAUGCCGCGUGCGGGAAGAAGGCCUUCGGGUUGUAAACCGCUUUUGUCAGGGAAGAAAUCUUCUGAGUUAAUACCUCGGGAGGAUGACGGUACCUGAAGAAUAAGCACCGGCUAACUACGUGCCAGCAGCCGCGGUAAUACGUAGGGUGCAAGCGUUAAUCGGAAUUACUGGGCGUAAAGCGUGCGCAGGCGGUUUUGUAAGACAGAGGUGAAAUCCCCGGGCUCAACCUGGGAACUGCCUUUGUGACUGCAAGGCUUGAGUGCGGCAGAGGGGGGAUGGAAUUCCGCGUGUAGCAGUGAAAUGCGUAGAUAUGCGGAGGAACACCGAUGGCGAAGGCAAUCCCCUGGGCCUGCACUGACGCUCAUGCACGAAAGCGUGGGAGCAAACAGGAUUAGAUACCCUGGUAGUCCACGCCCUAAACGAUGUCAACUGGUUGUUGGGAAGGUUCCUUCUCAGUAACGUAGCUAACGCGUGAAGUUGACCGCCUGGGGAGUACGGCCGCAAGGUUGAAACUUAAAUGAAUUGACGGGGU
rnacentral:rRNA from 1 species